UGGUGGAGUGAUUUGUCUGGUUAAUUCCGUUAACGAACGAGACCUCAGCCUGCUAACUAUGUCGUGUUUAGUCUUUGGUCGCUUGCGAUCGAUGGUUAGACACCCGACUUCUUAGAGGGACUAUUGAUGUUUAGUCAAUGGAAGUUUGAGGCAAUAACA
rnacentral:rRNA from 1 species